GGCUGAAAAACUGGGCUUGUGACAGUUAUUUCUUGUGCCUCUUCCCUGGAGUUCUAGAGCUCUCUUCCCACUACUCCACUGAUUCCACUCCUUUUGCUCUGUUUCUUUCAUAUUAAAAUUUAUUUUACAGCAAUCAAAAGUCACAAAAGGCACUUUGCAACAGUUGAGCCAGAGUGAGCCCCAGCAAGGGAGCUACUGAGGAUACCAACCCGCUGCCUGCAAAGGAAGGGCUCCUGGGAGGGCAGGGUCACCCAGAGAUAGCUGACCUUAGCUCUGGUCACAGCAAAUGAGUGCUUAAGUUUCUCUGCAUGCUGUAUUUUGCAUGUUUUUGUAUUGUUCCAUUUACAAAUAUCCAGCCCUCAGCUCACAGGCACCUGAACUCACUUCUUUGUUCCACCUCUUCCAGCAGGUCCUUCCUCACCCAAACUAUUUCAGGGUCUCUACACCUUGAGCUGACAGCCCUUUGCCCAAACUGUCUCUGCAGAUGACAGAAAGAUUCUGCUUCAGUGCCACAGACUCUUCCAGCCACCCCAUACAGAAACUACACUUUGUUGCGCAGCUGCCCUCAGCCACAGGGAGCCCAUAGCAAAAUAAAAUCUGUUCUCAACUCCUUAGUUGUUGUUUGGAGCUCUCGAGUUUGCUCAGGGAUGAGAUUAGGGUGCUGUAUCUGUGCCAGUCUCUGUGUUUUCUAGUAUUGGCAGUUACACUUGAAGCACUAACUGGUCUGGAAGUGCUUCCCCUUCUGCAUAAAGGGCUGACCAGAGCAGGUCAACAUAGCUCUGCAGUCACCAAUAUAUGUACCUCUGCUUUUGAGAUGCUUUCAGGCUGGGAGGUGCUAGAAGAGUGCAGAAAGAAGAGGCUGCAACAAAAGGAGAGUAUAAUGACAUAAUAAAUGAGACUUCUACCCAGAAUUUCCAAACUCCAAAUGGCAGUAAUUCCAGUGGUGAAUGAAGAAAGAGAUCCAGCAUUUCCCACUGUUCGAAUAAGAUGUAAGAACUCCAAGUUCUAUAAAUUAUAUAUAUAUAAAAAAAAUCUCUUUACACAAUUAACCAUUGAGUCACAAAGGAUUGUUUAUGCUAAUGUUUUGUUUCUUAGUUUAGAAAUAACAACAGACAGAAAACAAAUUAAACUCCUAAAAUUCUUGCAGCUUCAUAAUCAAC
ensembl:lncRNA